AACGAACGCUGGCAGCAUGCCCAACACAUGCAAGUCGAACGAGAUCUUCGGGUCUAGUGGCGCACGGGUGCGUAACGCGUGGGAAUCUGCCCUUUGGUUCGGAAUAACAGUUGGAAACGACUGCUAAUACCGGAUGAUGACGAAAGUCCAAAGAUUUAUCGCCAGAGGAUGAGCCCGCGUAGGAUUAGCUAGUUGGUGUGGUAAAGGCGCACCAAGGCGACGAUCCUUAGCUGGCCUGAGAGGAUGAUCAGCCACACUGGGACUGAGACACGGCCCAGACUCCUACGGGAGGCAGCAGUGGGGAAUAUUGGACAAUGGGCGAAAGCCUGAUCCAGCAAUGCCGCGUGAGUGAUGAAGGCCUUAGGGUUGUAAAGCUCUUUUACCCGGGAUGAUAAUGACAGUACCGGGAGAAUAAGCUCCGGCUAACUCCGUGCCAGCCGCCGCGGUAA
rnacentral:rRNA from 1 species